rnacentral:rRNA from 1 species
UUGAAGAGUUUGAUCAUGGCUCAGAUUGAACGCUGGCGGCAGGCCUAACACAUGCAAGUCGAACGGUAACAGGAAACAGCUUGCUGUUUCGCUGACGAGUGGCGGACGGGUGAGUAAUGUCUGGGAAACUGCCUGAUGGAGGGGGAUAACUACUGGAAACGGUAGCUAAUACCGCAUAACGUCGCAAGACCAAAGAGGGGGACCUUCGGGCCUCUUGCCAUCGGAUGUGCCCAGAUGGGAUUAGCUUGUUGGUGGGGUAACGGCUCACCAAGGCGACGAUCCCUAGCUGGUCUGAGAGGAUGACCAGCCACACUGGAACUGAGACACGGUCCAGACUCCUACGGGAGGCAGCAGUGGGGAAUAUUGCACAAUGGGCGCAAGCCUGAUGCAGCCAUGCCGCGUGUAUGAAGAAGGCCUUCGGGUUGUAAAGUACUUUCAGCGGGGAGGAAGGGAGUAAAGUUAAUACCUUUGCUCAUUGACGUUACCCGCAGAAGAAGCACCGGCUAACUCCGUGCCAGCAGCCGCGGUAAUACGGAGGGUGCAAGCGUUAAUCGGAAUUACUGGGCGUAAAGCGCACGCAGGCGGUUUGUUAAGUCAGAUGUGAAAUCCCGGGCUCAACCUGGGAACUGCAUCUGAUACUGGCAAGCUUGAGUCUCGUAGAGGGGGGUAGAAUUCCAGGUGUAGCGGUGAAAUGCGUAGAGAUCUGGAGGAAUACCGGUGGCGAAGGCGGCCCCCUGGACGAAGACUGACGCUCAGGUGCGAAAGCGUGGGGAGCAAACAGGAUUAGAUACCCUGGUAGUCCACGCCGUAAACGAUGUCGACUUGGAGGUUGUGCCCUUGAGGCGUGGCUUCCGGAGCUAACGCGUUAAGUCGACCGCCUGGGGAGUACGGCCGCAAGGUUAAAACUCAAAUGAAUUGACGGGGGCCCGCACAAGCGGUGGAGCAUGUGGUUUAAUUCGAUGCAACGCGAAGAACCUUACCUGGUCUUGACAUCCACAGAACUUUCCAGAGAUGGAUUGGUGCCUUCGGGAACUGUGAGACAGGUGCUGCAUGGCUGUCGUCAGCUCGUGUUGUGAAAUGUUGGGUUAAGUCCCGCAACGAGCGCAACCCUUAUCCUUUGUUGCCAGCGGUCCGGCCGGGAACUCAAAGGAGACUGCCAGUGAUAAACUGGAGGAAGGUGGGGAUGACGUCAAGUCAUCAUGGCCCUUACGACCAGGGCUACACACGUGCUACAAUGGCGCAUACAAAGAGAAGCGACCUCGCGAGAGCAAGCGGACCUCAUAAAGUGCGUCGUAGUCCGGAUUGGAGUCUGCAACUCGACUCCAUGAAGUCGGAAUCGCUAGUAAUCGUGGAUCAGAAUGCCACGGUGAAUACGUUCCCGGGCCUUGUACACACCGCCCGUCACACCAUGGGAGUGGGUUGCAAAAGAAGUAGGUAGCUUAACCUUCGGGAGGGCGCUUACCACUUUGUGAUUCAUGACUGGGGUGAAGUCGUAACAAGGUAACCGUAGGGGAACCUGCGGUUGGAUCACCUCCUU